UUUUUUUUUUUUUUUUUUUGUCUUUUUGCUAUUUCUUUGGGCUGCUCCCGCAGCAUAUGGAGGUUCCCAGGCUAGGGGUCCAAUCGGAGCUGUAGCCACCGGCCUCCUCCAGAGCCACAGCAAUGCGGGAUCCGAGCCGCGUCUGCAACCUACACCACAGCUCAUGGCAACGCCAGAUCAUUAACCCACUGAGCAAGGGCAGGGGCCGAACCCACAACCUCAUGGUUCUUAGUCAGAUUUGUUAACCACUGCACCAGACAGGAACUCUGAGAGUCAUUCUUACCAGUGUGAGGCGAUACCUCACUGCAGUUUUGAUCUGCAUUUCUCUAAAAAUUAGUGAUGUUGAGCAUUUUUUCAUAUGCCUGUUAGCCGCCUGUUGUGUCUUCUUUGGGGAAAUAUCUAUUUAGGUUUUCCCUUUUUUUUUUUUUUUGUCUUUUGUCUUUAUAGGGCUGCACCCACAGCAUAUGGAGGUUCCCAGGCUAGAGGUCCAAUCGGAGCUACAGCUGCUGGCCUACGCCACAGCCACAGCAACACCAGAUCCGAGCUGUGUCUGCGACCUAUACCACAGCUCAUGGCAAUGCUGGAUCCUUAACCCACUGAGCAAGGCCAGGGAUUGAACUUGCAACCUCAUGGUUCCUAGUCAGAUUUGCUUCCACUAUACCAGAACGGGACUCCUAGGUUUUCCAUUUUUAGACUGAUUUGUUUUUUUGUUGUCGUUGAUGUUUUGUUUGUAUAUUUUGUAGAUGAAGCCCCUGUUGGUUACAUUGUUUGCAGAGAUUUUUCUCCCAUUCUGUGGGUUGCCUUUUUGUUUUUUGGUUUUUGUUUUUAUGGUUUCCUUUGCUGUACAAAAGCUUUUACGUCUCAUUAGGUCCUAUUGGUUUAUUUUUGUUUUCAUAUUCAUUAUUAAAGAGGUGGGUCAAACAAGAUAUUGCUACAAUGUAUGUCAAAGAGUGUUCUGCCUAUGUCUUCCCUAGGAGUUUUAUAGUACCUGGCCCUACAUUUAGGUCUUUAAUCCAUUUUGAGUUUAUUUUUGUGUGGUGUUAGAGAAUGUUCUAAUUUCAUUCUUUUAUAUGUAGCUGUCCAGUUUUCCGAGCUCCACUUAUUGAAGAAAAUGGUCUUUUCUCAACUGUUCGUUCUUGCCUCCUUUGUCAUAGAUUAGUUGAGCAUAGGUGCUUGGGUUUAUUUUUGGGCUUUCUAUCCUGUUCCACUGAUCUAUAUUUUUGUUUUUGUGUCAGUUCUAUACAGUUUUGAUGACUGAUUGGCUUAGUAGUAUAGUCUGAAGUCAGGAAGCCUGAUUUCCUCCCGUACUGUUUUUCUUUUUCAGUAUUGCUUUGGCUAUUGCCAGUCUUUGGUGUUUCCAUACAAGUUUUAAAAUAUUUUGUUGUAGUUCUGUGGAGAAUGUCCUUGGUAAUUUGUUAGGGAAUGCAUUGAAUCUGUAGAUUGCCUUGGAUGGCAUAAUCAUUUUGACAAUAUUGAUUCUUCCAAUCCAAGAGCAUGGUAUGUAUUUCUACCUGUUUGUGUCAUCUCUGAUUUCUUUCAUCAGUGUCUUAUAGUUUUUAGAGUACAGGUCUUUUGCCACUGUAGGUAGGUUUAUUCCUAGGUAUUUUAUUCUUUUUGAUGCAAUGAUAAAUGGGAUUGUUUGAAUGAAAGUUUUGUCCAGAUAUAUGCCCAAAGGUGGAAUUGCUGGAUCAAAUGGUAGUUCUGUAUUUCGUUUUAUGAAGAACUUCCAUACUGUUUGCCAUAGUGGCUAUACCCAUUUAUGUUUUCGUCCAUGGAGGUUUCUCUUUUCUCCACACCCCCUCCAGCAUUUGUUAUUUGUAGAAUUACUAAAUGAUGGCCAUUCUGACUGGUGUGAAGUGGUACCUCAUUGUAGUUUUGAUUUGCAUUUCUCUAAUAAUUAGUGAUGUUGAGCAUUUUUUUUAUGUGCCUAUUGGACAUCUGUAUGUCUUAUUUGGAGAAAUGUCUAUUUAGGUCAUCUACCCAUUUUUUAAUUGGGGUUUUUGUUUGUUUUGCUGUUGCAUUGUAUGAGUUUGUAUAUUUUGGAGGUUAAGCCCUUGUUGGCUGCAUCACUUGAAACUAUUUUCUCUCAUUAGAUAGGCUGUAUUUUUUUUUUUUUUAUGGUUUCCUUUGCUGUGCAAAAGCUUGUAAGUUUAAUUAGUUCUCAUUGGUUGCUUUGGGAGACUGACCCAAGAAACUAUUUGUACAGUUGAUGUCAGAGAAUCUUUUGCCUGUGUUCCCUUCUAGGAGUUGUAUGGUGUCUUGUCUUAUGUUUAAGUCUCUAAAUUUAUUUUUGUGUAUGGCGUGAGGGUGUAUCCCAGUUUCACUGAUUUACAUGCAGCUGUCCAGUUUUCCCAGCAUCACUUGAUGAAGAGACUUUUCCCCAUUUUAUAUUCUUGCCUCCUUUGUUGAAGAUUAACUGACCACAGGUGUCUGGGUUUAUUUCUAGGUUCUCUAUUCUGUUCUAUUGGUCUAUAUGUCUGUUUUUGUACCAGUACUGUACUGUCUUGAUUACUGUAGCUUUGUAAUAUUGCC
ensembl:lncRNA